AUGAAGCUCGGGAGUCUCUUAACAAUAUUCUUCUUGACCUAUACAAGAAAUGCGGUAGGACAAAAGAAACAGAUUGAAAUGCUGAUAGUGAAGCUGAGAAUGGUUGAUGUGGAUCUAGCUUCUGACCGGUGGAAAGCAAAGAUUUCUAAAUCUCAUGGAAGAGUAUUAUAUCUCUCUUUGAGGGAUGAAAAGGCAAGGUUGUUGGGUAACCUCGCCUGGGCCUAUAUGCAGCCUGAUAACUAUGAGGAGGCUGAAAUGCUCUACAAGUAUAUAUCUCGGCCUUGA
rnacentral:rRNA from 1 species